CGCCCAGCCCGCGUCCUCUCCGUGCCCGGCCCCGCUGCUGGCCCUUACCUUGCAGCGGCCGGCUCUCCCCGCCGCUAACGCUACUUAUCCCGGGAAAGCUCGAGCGGGCCCUGGGAGCGAACCCACAGACAAAAAGUGAAACUUCGGCAGCAGGCCGGGAGUGGCUGCUGGUUGGUGCUCUCCCCUCCUUCCUCCCCACCCCCUUCCCGCGGUCUCCCGUGCGGUGCCCUGAGCGCUGGAGGCUGACGUCAGGGGCCUGAAUUCCUGACUUUGCCUGCACGCAUUUGUCCAUGUAAGACGACAGAUUGGAAAGCUGAGCUUGAGCGAAGAGAUCCUGCCAUGGAACACCCCACCCCACCCCCCACCCCAAGAGCCUUGUGUGAGCCCCGCCCAGGACUCCAGCGGGACACAGAACUGCGGGAUGGUGGAGAGCAACUUCAGUUCACUUCACACGGGAGAGCUCCGAAGAUGCGAAGCUGGGACCUGACCCAGUCCUGCACCGUGCAUAUUUAGGAUCCAAGCCAGUAUUCUACUCCUAGCUGGGUUUCCGCCUCCAGGCAAGACCCAGGCUCCGGAGCUGUGAGCUCAGACCCAAGUUAGACCUAGGCAGAUGACUUGACCACCCACUGAAGUGACUAACCCCAGUUCCUGGAAGGUUGUGGUUGACAAGCCUUGAGAAACAAUGGCAUUCGAGCGCUUCAGGGCAACUUCCUGUCCUUUGUUCAAAGAUAUGAACCUUUGGAGUUUAAGAUUUGCUUCCCAACCCUGCCCUGCCAGAAAACCAGAAAGCUUGCUCUGUUCUUACAGCUUAAAAAAGAAAAUACACCAACUGGGUGAACUGGUUUGAAUAAAGACAGGCCUGUUCUUGGAA